rnacentral:tRNA from 1 species
AAUAAAGUGCCUGAAAAAGGAUUAUUUUGAUAGGAUAAAUCAUGUAAAUUAAUUACCUUUAUUA